GACGAACGCUGGCGGCGUGCUUAACACAUGCAAGUCGAACGGAAAGGCCCUGCUUUUGUGGGGUGCUCGAGUGGCGAACGGGUGAGUAACACGUGAGUAACCUGCCCUUGACUUUGGGAUAACUUCAGGAAACUGGGGCUAAUACCGGAUAGGAGCUCCUGCUGCAUGGUGGGGGUUGGAAAGUUUCGGCGGUUGGGGAUGGACUCGCGGCUUAUCAGCUUGUUGGUGGGGUAGUGGCUUACCAAGGCUUUGACGGGUAGCCGGCCGGAGAGGGUGACCGGCCACAUUGGGACUGAGAUACGGCCCAGACUCCUACGGGAGGCAGCAGUGGGGAAUAUUGCACAAUGGGCGGAAGCCUGAUGCAGCAGCGCCGCGUGCGGGAUGACGGCCUUCGGGUUGUAAACCGCUUUCGCCUGUGACGAAGCGUGAGUGACGGUAAUGGGUAAAGAAGCACCGGCUAACUACGUG
rnacentral:rRNA from 1 species